ensembl:lncRNA
UUAAGAAGUACUUUCAAGUGUUUUUACUUAAAUACUUUACAUCACUAGGAGCCAAUAGGAAAAGCUGGUGUGCACUAUACAAAACCCUGAUUAGAAGUUCUCAAACCGUCUUCUCUGGAUAAUGUGGAGUAUUUUAGACUCCUGAAAUAAAGUCUAAGACACGUGUCCCCUUGGACUCGCCCACUUGAGUAUCCUGCCUAAAUAUCUGGGCAUAUGGAUUGACGAAACGUUACAGAGCCUUCAGAAAGUAUUCAUACCCCUUGACUUAUUCCCCAUUUCUUUGUGUUACAGCCUGAAUACAACAUUUAUUAAAACAUUGUUUUUAUCUCACCCAUCUACACACAAUACCCCAUAACGACAAAGUGAAAACAUGUUUUUAGAAAUGUUAGCAAAUGUAUUUAUAAUGAAAUACAGAACUAUUGAAUGUACAUAAUACACACCCCUGAGUGAAUAUUUGUAGAAGCACUUUUGUCAGUGAUUACAGCUAUUUGUCUUUCUGGGUAUGUCUCUACACCUUGGAUUGUGCAACAUUUGACCAUUAUUAUUUUCAAAAUUCUUCAAGCUAUCAAAAUGGUUGUUAAUCAAUGCUAGACAACUAUUUUCAGUAGGUUUAAGUCAAAACUGUAACUCGGCCGCACAGGAACACUCACUGUCUGUUUGGUAAACAACUCCAGUGUCGAUUUGGCCUUGUGUUUUAGGUUAUUGUCCUGCUGAAAUGUGAAUUAAUAUCCCAGUGUCUGGUGGAAAACAGACUGAACCAGGUUUUCCUCUCGGAUUUUGCAUGUAUUCAUCAGCAUUCUGUUUCUUUUUGAUCCUGAAAAACUCCCCAGUCCUUAACGAUGACAAGCAUACCCAUAACAUGAUGCAGCCACCACCAUGCUUGAACAUAUGCAGAGUUGUACUCAGUGAUGUGUUGUAUUAGAUUUGCACCAAACACCUUGUUUUCAGGACAAAAAGUUAAUUGCUUUGGGACAUUUUUAGCAGCAUUACUUUAAUGCAUUAUUCUGUACAGGCUUCCUUCUUUUCACUCUGUCAAAUAUAUUAGUAUUGUGGAGUAACUACAAUGUUGUUGAUCCAUCCUCAGUUUUCUCCCAUCACAGCCAUUAAACUAUGUAACUGUUUUAAAGUCACCAUUGGUCUCAUGGUGAAAUCCCUGAACAGUUUCCUUCCUCUCCAGCAACUGAGUUAGGACGGACGCCUGUAUCUUUGUAAUGACUGGGUGUAUUGAUACACCAUCCAAAGUGUAAUUAAUAACUUCACCAUGAUCAAAGGGAUAUUCAAUGUCUGAUAUUUUUAUUUUUACCCAUCUAUCCAGGCUGUAUCACAACCGGCUGUGAUUGGGAGUCCCAUAGGGCGGCUCACAAUUGGUCCAGCGUCAUCUGGGUUUGGCUGGUGUAGGCCCUCAUUGUAAAACAAGAAUUUGUUCUUAACUGACUUGCCUAAUUUUAUAAAGGUUAAAAAAUAUCAAUGGAUGCUCCUCUUUGUGAGGCAUUAGAAAACCUCCCUGGUCUUUGCAGUUGAUUCUGUGUUUGAAAUGUACUGUUCGACUCAGGAACUUUACAGUUAGUUGUAUGUAUGGGGUACAGAGAUGAGGUAGUCAUUCAAAAAUCAUCUGUAAUGCCCUAGAGGGUUCCCUAAAACCCUCUAGGGCAUUACAGACGGUUGUUAGGGAACCCUCUAGGGCAUUACAGACGGUUGUUAGGGAACCCUCUAGGGCAUUACAGACGGUUGUUAGGGAACCCUCUAGGGCAUUACAGACGGUUGUUAGGGAACCUUCUAGGGCAUUACAGACGGUUGUUAGGGAACCCUCUAGGGCAUUUCAGACGGUUGUUAGGGAACCCUCUAGGGCAUUACAGACGGUUGUUAGGGGACCCUCUAGGGCAUUUCAGACGGUUGUUAGGGAACCCUCUAGGGCAUUACAGACGGUUGUUAGGGAACCCUCUAGGGCCUUUCAGACGGUUGUUAGGGAACCCUCUAGGGCAUUACAGACGGUUGUUAGGGAACCCUCUAGGGCAUUACAGACGGUUGUUAGGGAACCCUCUAGGGCAUUUCAGACGGUUGUUAGGGAACCCUCUAGGGCAUUUCAGGCGGUUGUUAGGGGACCCUCUAGGGCAUUUCAGACGGUUGUUAGGGGACCCUCUAGGGCAUUACAGACGGUUGUUAGGGAACCCUCUAGGGCAUUACAGACGGUUGUUAGAGAACCCUCUAGGGCAGUGCAAAGGCUGGCCCUGGGGGCAGUAUGCGGCCCGCGAUCUGAUUCAAUACGGCCCGCGGAAUCAUCCUCAGAUCACAUAAUGAAUUGAGACUACAUUGAGGCCAUAGCGGUACUUCCUGUACUUGUUCCCGUCCUCGGGGUUGUCUACGAUAGCACUGUAUGUCCGUAUCCUCAGGGUUGUCUACGAUAGCCCUGUAUGUCCGUAUCCUCAGGGUUGUCUACGAUAGCCCUGUAUGUCCGUAUCCUCAGGGUUGUCUACGAUAGCCCUGUAUGUCCGUAUCCUCAGGGUUGUCUACGAUAGCCCUGUAUGUCCGUAUCCUCAGGGUUGUCUAUGAUAGCCCUGUAUGCAGUAGCCCUGAUGAGGGAGGGCCUAGUCUGCUUGCUUGAGGGUAGAAUAACAAUGGUCUAGAACUUUAUCUCCCCUAGUGGCUUUGAAGACGUGUUGAUGGAAGUUGUGCAUUACGUGUCUUAAUAAUGCGAAUCGCCAGCAACCGGAAAAGCAGCCUUUUGGAUUUAAGUUAGCUUGUUAUUUUUCAAGUCCUGAGGUAGAAUGUAUACGAUAGUCACGAUAAUAGCAAAAAACUCCCUCGGGAGGUGGAAGGAUCGGUAUUUGACGAUCAGGCAUUCCAAGAAGGGUUACACAGUGUAACAAUGUCUCAGCCUCCAGUAUUUAUGCUGUAAUAGAUUGUGUUGGGGGGCUGGGGUCAGUCUGUUAUAUCUGGAGUACUUCUCCUGUCUCAUCCAGUGUCCUGUGUGAAUUUAAGUAUGCUCCCUCUAAUUCUCUCUCUCUCUUUCUCUCUCUCUCUCUCUUUCACUCUCUCUUCUCUUGGAGAACUUGAGCUCUAGGACCAUUCCUCAGGACUACCUGGUCUGAUGACUCCUUGCUGUCCCCAGUCCACCUGGUCAUGCUGCUGCUCCAGUUUCAACUGUUCUGCCUGCGGCAAUGGAACCCUGACCUGUUCACUAGACGUGCCACCUGUCCCAGACCUGCUGUUUUGGACCCUCUUUCUACCGCACCUGCUGUCUCUAACUCUGAAUGAUCGGCUAUGAAAAGCCAACUGACAUUUACUCCUGAGGUGCUGACCUGUUGCACCCUCUACAACCACUGUGAUUAUUAUUAUUUGACUCUUCUGGUCAUCUAUGAACGUUUGAACAUCUUGGCCAUGUUCUGUUAUAAUCUCCACCCGGCACAGCCAGAAGAGGACUGGCCACCCCACAUAGCCAGGUUCCUCUCUAGGUUUCUUCCUAGGUUUUGGCCUUUCUAGGGAGUUUUUCCUAGCCACCGUGCUUCCACACCUGCAUUGCUUGCUGUUUGGGGUUUUAGGCUGGAUUUCUGUACUGCACUUUGAGAUAUCAGCUGAUGUAAAAAAGGGCUUUAUAAAUAAAUAUAUUUGAUUGAUUGAUCCAGUACGGCGCCAUUUGAACAGAUUAGAAAUAAUUAGUAGGACAAGCAUUUGUCAUCAUUGUGAUGUCUCCAGAUUGAGUUUAGAUGUAGUAAACUUUAGCUAACUAGCUAAGAUUGAGGGUAGAGCACUCAAUUGUUAGCUAGCUAAGGUUAGCAUUGCUAGCUAUUUCUGACCAACAUUGCUAGCUGAUGGCAUCAUUGCCAUCUCUCUAAAGUAAACAUGACGACUUCAUAAUGAUAGCAAAGUUGUUUUCCAUUAAUUAUUUGUCUACUUUAGAAAUGUCAUCGUAUUUCCAGGCCACUAUAGUGUACAUUUGACAAAACAGUCAUUAGCCAGAAAGACUUGGCAUUAACCAUCAGCCGGACAUCAACAUGCCAGGGCAUCUGAAGAACUCUCCAGUUGUCAUUACAAUAACAGGCCACCAGGUGGCGAUAGUUGUUCUCUCUCGCUCUCUUUUCACUGUUCUCAUGUGUAAACCCCUCAAAUAAGCACAGUGACUAGGGAAAGUCAACCUCGAGUUGAUUAAAACCACAUUCACAUUAAACCUAGAGAAUAAAUCCCAGAACACAUGUUCAUAUGACUCCUAUUAGAAUACCAAUUAUCUCUGAUUGGACCAAUGUUUAGAACCUCUAGUAAUGGGGCUGGCUUAUUGGCUUGGCUACAGUGUAUUGUUAGAGAUAGAAGUAUGAAUGAUUCCCAAAUGGGCACCCUAUUCCCUAAAUAGUGCACCACCAGCAGUGUUCUAUGUAGAGAAAAUGGUACCAUUGGAAACACAACUUAUAACUAGGCCUGCCUAACGGCUAUUUGAAAUACCCUGUAAGUAUUAGAGGUAGUUUACAAUGACUGAAGAGUGCUGUUUCAAAGAGCAUUACAUAUCACUCUCAGAGGAUACCUAAGGCAAUGUUGUAAAAACGGCAUUAUGAUAAUUGUGAACCACAUCAUAUGUGAUUUUUUCUACUGGCUCUGCCUAAGGUCGUAGAGUAGAGCACUUACCUCUGUUCUGCAGGAUCAUCGAAUCAGCUGCUCUCACUCUCUUUCUCUCUCUCUGCAUUGGUUGGCUACUUUCGUGGCAGCGAAUGGGAUAUUCUCCCUGAUUAUCAUCGCUUCUUCCCAAUAACGCAGCACUUCUAUCCACAUUCCCUUCUCCACACAGCUCUUUAAAAAUAUCUCUAAUUGACAACAGGAGCAUUAUUUGUUUCUUGUUAGCAGUGGCGUAAUGGUGGCUGUAGAAGUGGGUAUACCCUAAUAAUUAGGGUAAGUAGGUAUACCCACCCACUCUAAUUAUACCCACUUCUACAGGCACCACUGCAUAGGGCUGAUGGAAAGACCGCAGUCACACACAGCAUGAUGGUAAAGGAUAAGCAGUCCAUAAACUCAGA